rnacentral:lncRNA from 1 species
CGACCUAUCCGAUCGUCGGGUACCAUUGCUAGAUGGUCACUUCGAUUAGUACAGAAAUUGAUUCCUGUGCUACCGGCUUAGGUUCGAACCUGUGGGGUCACACACAUUAGAGGUUCCUUUCUGAUCUGAUGGCUGAUUAUGAGUCUUAUAUGUUUGGGACUCUAUGAUUGAGAAUUAAGAUUCUCUGAUCAUGAGUUCCAUACAUUUUGGGUACUGGGGUCAAAAUUU